rnacentral:ncRNA from 2 species
ACAGGUCUGUGAUGCCCUUAGA